CCUACGGGAGGCAGCAGUAGGGAAUAUUGGGCAAUGGAGGCAACUCUGACCCAGCCAUGCCGCGUGAACGAAGAAGGCGCUAUGCGUCGUAAAGUUCUUUUAGAGGGGGCGAAAACACUUGAUUCAUCAAGUACUGACGGUACCUUCGGAAUAAGCACCGGCUAACUCUGUGCCAGCAGCCGCGGUAAUACAGAGGGUGCAAGCGUUAUCCGGAAUCACUGGGUUUAAAGGGUGCGUAGGCGGGAUUAUAAGUCAGAGGUGAAAUCUCGUCGCUUAACGACGGAAUUGCCUUUGAUACUGUUUUUCUUGAAAUUUGUUGAGGUUGGCGGAAUGAGACAUGUAGCGGUGAAAUGCUUAGAUAUGUCUUAGAACACCGAUUGCGAAGGCAGCUGACUGGACAAUAUUUGACGCUGAGGCACGAAAGCGUGGGGAUCAAACAGGAUUAGAUACCCUGGUAGUCCACGCCCUAAACGAUGUUUACUUGCUGUUUGUUUUUCGGAAUGAGUGGNGAGAGAAGAGAGAAGUAAACGACCGNGGGAGGUACGCCGCCGAAGGUAAGGUAAACGUAACGAAAGGAAAGUAGUUACGGCGUGAGGAGNGCCGACGGACGACGACGAGGGAGGAGG
rnacentral:rRNA from 1 species